rnacentral:misc_RNA from 1 species
UGUGUGUGUGUGUGUGUGUGUGGUAAUGAUAUUGCCAGAGCAGUUGUUAAAACCACAGCAACAACCAUUUUCAAGAUUCAGAUUGACAUAAUUGCCAAUUAUACUCCUCAAAGAAACGAUUGAGUGAAUUGAAUUAGAUUUUCUGGGAUAACUAGGAUUCAUUCUUGGCAUAUUUUGUGAGAAAUCUUGUAAUGAAGUCUCUAGUAUCAUUGUCUUUGGCUCCAUACUGAUUAUGGAGUCAAAUGUUUUAGUUCUAGAUUUUCAUGAAUGAUCGGAUAAGCGAAUGCCAAUAGAUUGAUUAUGGUAACUGAUUGUUGGAUUAGCAAGAUGAUAGCUUGAGGGACAGAUUGAAACGGAGGAAAAGGAGAUAAAGAGUAAGUAGAAGACUAGAAAUUUGAAUUUAUUUUGUUCCUGUUGAUUAAGAAAAACAAGAAAACAGAGAAAGAAUGGAGUAGGGAUUACGGCAUAUGAAUUGAAAAAAGACAAAUGACAACACGAAAGUUGUAAGAAUGACCAAAAAUUCAAUCAAUUUAUCAUGCUUUGGAGAGUUGUUAAUGAACUUGGCAUAUUCUGUUUACCCACUUUUAUUAAAACAUGCACUGAACUGGUUAUAGUAUACUGGUUGCGUAUAAUUUUGUUUCUUUUUGGAGCUUGACUUGAAAACAAACAAUUUGCAGUGCUACCCAGCAUUGGCUUGAGCCAAAGAAGGCUUAGCUGAUUUGCAUCUCUAUGUACAUUUUGUAUAAUCGUGUUUAUGAGGGGAAGCACAAAUAAAAUAAGGCAAAACAAAACAAAAUAAAUGCUGAAGCAAACAAAUUAUAAAAGAAACUUUAAAGAUGAAAUGGUUUUGUUUUCCACUCUACAUGCCCCUUGCUUUUACCAACCUGCUCACACCUGGAAGGAUGGUGUGAAUGGAUUGUUAAAAAAAAAAAGAGGAAAAUGAGAAAGACUGCUGAAGAGAAGGAAAAAGAAAAGGAUUGGCAAUAUAAGUUUGAACCAUAGCCAUGGAUGUGUCUGGCAUGAUGGAAGCUUUUGAAACAAUGUUGAUGAAGUUGAGGCCAUAUGAAGACAAAAGUGCCAAUAUUAUGUUAAUUACCUGUUAACUAUAAAAUUGAAAGGGUUAGCAUACAUGAGAAAAAACAUAAUAAUCUAUCUGUGCAUUAUAAGGACUUAUCUCCAUUAAGGUCUUUGUGACCAAAAGACAUUAACAUGAAGUUACCUGGAACAUGACUGGGACUGUUGGAUUAAGCAUCUUUAAAAAAUUUUAUAUGCCUUUCUCCUAGUGAAAUGCUGGUGGGAUUACUUAAUUUACUUAAUUAAAAUUAAGGGUUAGCAUAUUUAAUUUACUUAAAUUUUUAUUUCGAAGAUUUACUUUAUUUAAAUUGUUAAAGUUUGUGGUUGAUAAUAGAUAUAUGAAAGUAACUCGUCAGUGGCAUUAUGUAAUUGGUGACUUCGUUUUCUGUCUUUUAUGGUUUUUAACUUGCUUGUGGCAUCUAGUUGGUGCUCAUUAUUUUUCAUAUGGUUGCAUUUAUGGAUCCUGCGCUGUGAAUAAAUAUCUUGUCUGUCUUAGGUGUUUUAUCUUUCUUCACAUUCUUGUCUGCUUGUUGCAGCGAAAAUUGCUGGAUGAGAAAAUUAAACUCAAGGAGGAAGAGGAACAGUUUAAGGUUGAGUUGAAAGCCAUGCGUGAAGCUGCACAGUGGAGAAGAUCACA